CCAGUCACCUUGCCAGUGUCUUCCGGCCGCCUGCCCUCCCCUCCGGGCUCCCGGAAGGUAGCCUGACCCUCGGCCGCGUUAGGCGGCUUGCGAGGGUUGUCUGGCAUCGUGUGUGUCCUUCUUACUUUGUUACCACUUGGGCGGACUUUGGAAAAUUCUUACUAAUGGAGGAUUUCAAAAAUGCCAAGUAGAGGGAAGAGUGUAAUUAGCUCGUUACUUGUGUACAUUUUGGUGUAAUUUCCUGCAGAGUUUUUUUUUUUGUUUUUUUUUUUUUCUGUGCUGUCAGCCCGCCUAAGUCCCUUUGGAAAAAUGUACAAUUAAAAAGUAAACCUAAAAAUGGGCUCCAGUCAUUCUGCAGGCUCCGUUGUAGCUUUCCAGGUGUGCUUUUCUCGGCCAUUAAAAUGUGUAUGUGGACAGUGUUUUAGCGGCAUCUGUCAGGGCAGGGCCCCAUCCUCAUAGAGGACAGCAGGCCAGCUGGCCGGCCGCAGCCUUGCGGGGGCUGGAAGCAGGUAGGGAGACAGUGGGUCACGAGCGGCGCUGCGUUCAGCGGGACCUCAGCCUCCCCGGCCCGAGUCCCACGGGGUGACGCGACGGGCCCAGACGAGGGCCGCGCUUGAAUUGGAUCCGUCUGCAGUUGAGGGGCCGAGGACCAAGCACCUUUGGUAGCGAGCAGCGGACAAGCCAGGCCCCCUCCCCUGGGAGCCAGCGAGUUGCGCUGUGGUCUCCUUGACCAACCAGAUGUGGCCGAAGAGACGUGCAGGGACGCCUGGGUCCCCUGGCGGCCCGCCUCUGCCAAACGCGGCACGUGUGGGUGCACCACCAUUUAAUUAGUUACCCCUCUUGUUGGUUAUUUAGAAGUUUCCACUUUGGUCCCACGACAGGGUCAUCCCUGUAACGUUGGUGGUAAAACUUCACCCACAUUUCUGAGUAUUUUCUUAGGCUAGAUUCCAGCAAGUAUGAUGUCACUUUCACAAUUGCAUCUCACACGAGUGUUUGAUUGUAUUCGUUUGCCCUCCCGACACUGAAGUGUUUUAUUUUUAAUUUAUUUUUAUUCCUUGUUUUUUUUUUAAAGUAGGCUCUACUCCCAACAUGGGGCUUGAACUCACACCCCCAAGAUAUGGGGCUUGAACGCACAACCCCGAGAUCAAGAGUCCAGCGCUCCACUGACUGAGCCAGCUGGGCUCCCCUUAUUGAAUUGAUUUUUAGUCAUUGGCUUUUUGAUACAAUGUUUAAAUCUUCUUUUCUUUCUCCUCUCAGUGUUGGAGUGAACAUUGACCGUUUUAAACAUUGACCGGUUUAAGAUCUUGUCUAGUGUCUGCGUGAGUCAGCGGGGAGAUUGUAGCCGUUUAACCCGGGUCCGUUUGCAUGUAUUCACAGCUAUUUAUUGAGCAUCUGUUGGGAGCUGGGCGCUGUGCAGGCCCUGGGGUUGGGCAUGAGCAGAGCCCUCAGGGACCUUAGGCUGUAGAUAGAAGAAGCUGGUUUUCUGUGGAUAGUGUGUUUCGUCUAAUUUCAUUUCUCCCUUGAGUUCAGAUGAGGGCUUCUUAAUAAAGUUAAGGUGGGAACCCAUCUGCCUUCAAUUUCGUGAAUUGUCGUCGGCAUCAUUUUUCUCAUGCUUAAAAAAAAAAUGUUUGUUUAUUUUUGAAGGAGGAGGGGCGGAGAGAGAGGGAGAGGGAGUUCACACAAAUCAUGAUGUCGUUGUGAACAGAUAGGUUUUUAAAAUCGUUUAUGGUAGGAGAGAAGACCGUCUCUGUUCAGACAGGGACACCGUGGUUGAAAGGAGCUUGACUUUUUUGCUUCAUAACUUCCCCCCCCCCCCCCCCACUAUUUUGCCAAAAGGCAUUGUUACAGAUCCUUCAUCGGUCAGCCUAAAUUUUAUUUACAACUGGCCAUCUUGUGCCUUGGGCAGAUUCUCUGUCUUCUCUAAGGGCCACUGGACUGGGGUAAUGACGCAGUCCUACCUGCCUCUCAGGGUCAGAUGAAGGGUCCAGUGAGGUGCUCCGUGUACGUCAGUUGGGGAGUUGACACGCACAGGUGCCUGGGGACUGUCAGCACCGGUGGCCGUCACCAGCAGGCGCCGCCCAGGGCUUCAUGGGCUCCACAGCAGUCUGACACACCAGAGGUGACAUUUAAACGUCUUUAGUCAUAACGAAUACAUUAAUUCCCACUUGACUGUUGUAAGAAACUCUUCGGGUUCCCUUUUCUUGUAGUUUUUUUUUUUUUUUUUUUUUAAUUUAACGCAUACUUACCUAUGGUAAACUGUAUCCAUUCACGAUUUUAUUUUAUUUAAACUGUAUCCAUUUGAAGUGUGCGGUUUGAUGAGAUUUAUCUGACAGAUUUUUGCCCCGGUGGAGGCGCAGUUACGGUGAAGAGGUGAAGAUCCGGGAACACUUCAUUGCCCUGAGAAGAUUCUCCCUUGUCUGUUUGCAGCCCAGCCCUCCCUCCCACGGAUCUGCCUUUUGUCACUACAGAUUAGUCUGCGUUCCCCAGAAUUUUAUAUUAAUGGGAUCACACAAUGUAUUCUCUUGCGCCUGGCUCUCACUCAGCGUGAAGUGCGUGAGAUCAUUGUUGGGACCGUCAGUCUUCCCUUUUUAUUGCCGAGUUAUUUUAUUUCUACUAUCUGCCUAGACCACAUUUUAUUCAUCCAUUCACCUGUCACGAAGAUGUGGAUUAUUUCCAGUUUGGGGCCACCGUGAAUUACGCUGCUGUGAGUGUGUGUGUGCAAGUCAUUGUGUGGGCGUCUUGGGUUAGUACCAGUGGAACGGCUGGGUCGUACGGCAGGGUUUUUCUUUUCCCUCGAAGAUGUUUUAUGUAGAAUGUAAUAGAGGUAACAAGGACUGGUGUGUGCAAAUGGUAUGCAACAGUCCCGAAAUAAGUGUUAGAAAAGCUUUUACUUAAUGUAAGCGUAACGUGCCAGUCUGUUACAGAACGUUUUAACAUAUUUUGCAUCAAAUAAGAAAAUCAGCAUUUACCCCCUCCAAAAAAAAAAAGUCACAGAGUAAAUGAAAACAUUUUUUUUUUCUUGUUCUUGCAGUAAAAAAAAUCACAGCUUUGAACUUCCUUAAAAUUGGGGAGAAAGCCUCGCACAAAAUUACAAGUAUAAAUCGUUGUGGCUGGGCCCCGUGCAGGGUUGGGGGGAGAAGGGGCCCUUUGGAAGGUUCCGUCAGCAUUGUCUGCUUCUCCUGCGCUCUCCCCUUUCCAGAGCUCCUCUGUGUGUCUGGGGGAGCUUCUCUGCGGUUCAUGCUCUCGUGCAUGACGUUUAUGACUCAGCCCGCGCGGGAGAGUCUGCCGCGCUCCGUGGGCCUAGCGGGAGAGGCGCCCUCUCCUGUUACUAAGGUGUUUGCCCCCUACUGGGCUACACCACCACCCCAGGGUAAAUCUUCUUUAACGAUGGGGGGGGGGGGUGUUUGUUUAUUUACUUAUUUAUUUUUUGAAUGCUUAUUGUUUUGAGAGGGGGAGAGAGAGGGAGAGAGAAUCCCAAGCAGGCUCCACGCCGUCCGCACAGAGCCCAACCGGGAGAGCAUGACCUGAGCCGAGACCGAGAGUCAGACUUCACUGGCUGAGCCGCCCAGGUGCCCCAGUUUUUUCAUUCAUUUUUAAGUAGCUCCCACCUCCAGGGUGGGGCUUGAACUCACGACCCUGGGAUCAAGAGUCGCAUGCUCGACGCGCCCAGCCAGGUGACCCUGUUAGCAUUUUGUUUGUUUUUAAGGGAUUUUUCUAUAAAAUCUUUUGAGAACAGUUCUGUUGUUUGGGGGUUCUGGGUGCUUGAACUCCCAGGUAGAUGAUCUACUUUGGAAUCAAGGUAUUGAUUGAAGGUUACUCUGAAGAAUCCAUAGUUCACGUCCGCACGCGAGUUAGGUGGCAGGGGUCAACAGUAACUGAAAGUUGGGGACGUUGGUCUUUGCAUAGUUGCAGUGUGGGAAGUCGCCGAUUGAGUCUGCUUAGUGCCUUGUUACGUGCUGUUUUCCAUCCUCAUUGUUAGUACUACUUAAUUAAAUGCUUGGGGUCUCCUGCAAGACUCCCCGGGACCUCGCGGAAGCCCCGUGUGGCUGACGACGGGUGCCAGCAGCUGUGUGAUCCUGGGUUUACUGUCUGUCAGCCUUGCGGGGGGGCGGGGGGCAUGAGAAGCCUGGCCUCCGUGUCCUCACGCUCCUGGGUGCUCGCCCUGUACUCCCCUCGCUCACUCCAGCACGCGCCUAAGGCCUUUGGGGAUGGAGGGGUCAGUCUUUGGUGGGGGGGGGAGGGGUGGGAGGGGUAAGUGCACCCUUUUUUUUUUUUUUUUUUUUCUUGAUGUCACUGUUUCCCAGCCAACAUUAUAGAUGACUUUGGGGCGGGACUGUCUUUUUCCUUUUUCUUUUCUUUUUUUUAAAUUUUUUAUUUGUUUUUGCAACAGAGGCAGAGCAUGAGUGGGGAAGGUGCAGAGAGCGAGGGAGACACAGAAUCCGAAGCAGGCUCCAGGCUCCGAGCCGUCGGCCCAGAGCCCGACGCGGGGCUCGACCUCACACACCGUGAGAUCGUGACUUGAGCCGAAGUCGGACGCCCAACCGACUGAGCCCCCCAGGUGCCCCUGGGCAGGACUGUCUGGUACUAAGCAAACAAGCUGUUUUACAGUGUGCUACCUGUCGCUUUGCAUUUAAUGGGGCAUUUUACACUUUGAGGGUAAAAGUUCAUCUGUACGAGCACUUGGUGAGGGGAGGUUUGUGGCACUAUUCGCAUUUCCGUGGUCAAAGUUACAAAUUAACUUACGUGCCUGCAAAGUUCCCGGGGGCAGCAGCUCUGAUCCCCGUGGCUCUGAAACCCGGUGAUUGAUGAUAGAGACUUUACUUCAAUUAGAUCCUCUUAAAAGGUGACUUCUGUGAAACUCACUGCGAAACGCAUCUGGUAAAGCUCUUUCCUUUACAGCCAGAGGGAGCACUAGAUAAAAUUUCUUUCUUUGCCUUGCACGCUCUGAACUACGGGGAGUAGAGAAAGGAGUCAGCGAGUGGAGACCACACCACCAGCUUUGUCGCGGGGGGAAGGGGCGGAGGAGUCGCCUGACGUGGAGCGUCUGGGAAAAGGUGGCGAACGUGUAAAGCAGGUCACGUUUCUCACGGUUUCUUCCCUGCUGAUCGGAUCUUCUGAACUUGGGAAUUCCGGUCUGACCUAACCCGCAGCGUCACGUGCUGCCUUCCUUCGAAGUCUCCUACGUCCAUACAGCCCUUCCUCGUUACUCGUGGGUUCCAUAUUCGUGAAUCUGCCUUCUAACGUUUAUUUGUAACCCCAGAUCAGUCCCCAGAGCAGUGCUUUCGUGCUUGGGAACACGUGCGGGCAAGUGGAAACUGCCUGGCGCCCCUGAGGGUUCGGUGGCGGCGGGGGACACGGCACCACCCUGCCCCCCAGUCGCCACUCCCCCUGCCAUAAACAGGGUCCUUUUUGUGGCCCGUUUAGUGCUGUGUCUUCCCCCUUGUGUUGGUGAUUUCGCCGUUUCAGGCAGCCCCGAGCCCAGUGCUGAGGUGCUGUCCGUGUCCCCGAGUGCAGGGAGGCUCUGGUGUGCCCCACCGAGAUGUGGCAGAUGAGCUUCCUCCACACCUGAGUUCAGUGUCGGCGAAUCAACAACGUAGACUAAACAAGAUGCCCUUAAACGGAAACACACCUCAGAGAAAGGGGUGAUGUAUAAUUAGAAAGGCCGAAAGGGAGCAGAGGAGACAGGCAGGAGGUACGCAGCGCUUGUGCAGCGGAGUGGAUGUCCGGGGCAGAAACGCGCGUUCCCCGCCCCCACCUGCGCUGAGGCUUUGAGUUUUCAGAGAACCGCUUGAAUGGCACGCCACGAUGUUCAUCGUUUUCGUACCCGGUGAAGGCUGGGCAUUUUCUCGAAGCCCAGAACACCCAGUGAAUGAAUUGGAUCUUCCCUGCUUCUCAUACUAAUUUUGUAUUCCUCCAAGUAGUAGAAGUACCAGAAGGAUCCAUGCUGGAAAGAUCCGUUGAGUUUAUCAUAAACGAUUGGCGCUUGUAAUGCAUUACUUUAAUCGAGUUAAAGGAUGAACUUUCCAGGUAGCUUUUUCUCCAUGCCCUCCUACAAAGCUGUUAAACUUGUUUGAUCUUUAAAUAUUUUCCUUUUGACCCAGGACGGUGUGAACCGUCCAUUCUACAGUGGGAUGAGGAGUGUUUAUACUGAGCUGAUGGAAUACCUAACGCGAUUAUUAAAAGCGUGUGAAGCUG